rnacentral:lncRNA from 1 species
GGGCGUGGUUGCACAUGCUUGUAGUCCCAGCUACUCGGGAGGCUGAGGCAGGAGAAUCGCUUGAACCCAGGAGGCAGAAGUUACAGUGAGCCGAGAUCGCGCCGUUGUACUCCAGCCUGGGCGACAAGAGCAAAACUCCAUCUCAAAAAAUAAUAAUAAUAAUAAUCCAAGAUCUGGGCACUAGGGGUGCUCACUGUUUCCAGAUCUGUAGAAAAUACAUAUGCCUAUACACACACACAUAGAUAUAUACACACACAUAGAUAUACAUCUGUAUUUCCAGCUAUCCAUAUUGGAACUGGAUUUGUACUGAUAUCUCCAAUUUCAAUCCACCCAGCCAGAAGUUGGUCCAGUCUGACCACUUUCCUAAUUUGCAACUCCCUUCUCCGAAACGAGAGUCCUCAAAUCCUUCAUCCCCGAUGCUUUUACUUAUUUGUGCAAUCCCCAGCCCUCUCCAACGUCUCUUUCUUGGCUCCUUGGCAGGUUAAAAGCUGGCCCUCAAGGAGGAGGGAAAGGGGAAGUAGGAAAAAGGAAGAAAUGAAUGGUCUGAGAGUUCCCUCUGUUUGCAAGUGAACAGUGAGCCUGCCAGUGUUCUGAACAUGGGCAAGACAUGAGACACCUGGGUCUGAGACAAAGACUUUGUUACUCACAGCACAGCAGGCAGCACGAGCUUCAUAUUCCCCCCAGCCCCCCAGCCCCACGGACAAUGAGGAGUGGCUCCGGUGGAUGCUGUACACACAGCUAAGGAACCCUGGGUUAGGAAACACCAGUCAUUUAAAGGACUGCUAGCAAACCUGCCCAGUUUCUGCCCAGAGGGAGAAGCCAUCUUUAUUAUCUUGGACAGCAAGCAAAUUUGCCCUCUGCCUGGAGGGAGACACAUGCAUGACGCUGAGGAUUCACGUGUGGACAUUGGGACCCCAGGGCCUGAGCUGAGACCCCAGCACUGCCCUUUACUCUCUGGGACCUUGGACAAGUGACCCAACCUCUCUGUGCCUCGCUGUCCUCAUCUGGAAAAUGGAGACAAUAACUGUAUCCAGGUCACUGCUUUCUUAGGAAGAUUAGCAAGACCAGUAUACAACGUGCCAGGGUCAUCUAUGCUGGGAAGGGCUGAGUGGGCUGCAGACAGGGCCAUGGAUGGCCUCUCUGAGCAGGUGCUUUUGAGACCAGACCAGUGGAAGUGGGGAGCAACCUUGCAGCUGGUCUGGGUCAGGCGCAGGGCAAAAGCCCAGGGCAGGGAGCACUUCAGGUGCUCGAGAAGUGGUGAGAAUCCACGGGGAGCAAGAGCCCAGGAAGCCAGGCAUCGACAAUGGAGUUCCCUCUGAGCACCUGAGACGGCUGUGCCGGGGACUCCUGAGCAGAGGCCAAUGCAGCCAACUCGCAUUUAAGGGCCCGCUGGCUGUCGUGGAAGUGCCUGGAUACUCAGGAAGAGCUACAAGCAUCUGGAGGCGGCCCAAGGGUGCAGGACCGUCGCACAUCGCAGCGGGUCAACCCCCCGGACACUCCUGCUUGGCCCCCAUUCACCCAGGAGCACCUUUCCACUGGGAAAAGCAAAAUGUCCUUUCUUUUUGGAGCUGAGGAAACUCAAUCUCUCAUUUACCUAUGAAAACAACAGUUGAGUUCCUCAUGCAAAUGUGCAUACAAGGCAAUGGAGAAGACCCUUUAAAAUGCACCUCCGAACUAGAAUUAGGAUCCUAAACAACAACUUCCCAGGGGGAAAAAAUCCCAGCCAAGACCACUUCCUAUAAACUGUCCUCAGCCACCCCUAACUUUGUAGCUCUCGCCCACCAUGAUUAUAAACGCCAAGCUCAAAUCCUCUCAUAGCGCAAGGUCAUCUCUGGUACCCCCACAAAGCCAAAGAAUACAGGUAAUGUAGCAGGAGCCAGAGCCUUAGACCCAGAAGGACCUGUCCAUGACUCUUGAAACGCCACCAAGAAAACAGAACACCCCAAAAGGGGUGAGUGGUGCCAUUGUUCUGAGUUCUUUACAGGAUUUGAGUCAUUAGACACCUCUAGAUUUUUUUCUUGGUACUGAAGUUGGUGAAGGGGAAGGAGGAACAGGGUGGAAGAAAAGUAAGACAGGAAGCAAACAUGGAAACCGAGAGCGCGACCGGGAGCGAACGCGGAAACCGAGAGCGCGACGGGGAGCGAACGCGGAAACCGAGAGCGCGACCGGGAGCGAACGCGGAAACCGAGAGCCUGACGGGGAGCGAACGCGGAAACCGAGAGCCUGACGGGGAGCGAACGCGGAAACCGAGAGCCUGACGGGGAGCGAACGCGGAAACCGAGAGCGCGACGGGGAGCGAACGCGGAAACCGAGAGUAUGGUUUUGUUUUGGUUUUCUCUUUUGCAUCUGUGAGGAAUUUUAGGUAAUUCAGAAAGUCCUUGUUCCCCAUAAUUUGGAAUUCUCAUUCGGAUUUGACCAAGGCAGGUAGAGUGGGUCAAAUCUAAUGGGAGAAAGACCGGAAAACAUUUUUUUAAAAAAGAUCCCAAC